CCUACGGGUGGCAGCAGUGAGGAAUAUUGGUCAAUGGGCGCGAGCCUGAACCAGCCACGUCGCGUGAAGGAUGACUGCCCUACGGGUUGUAAACUUCUUUUAUAAAGAAAUAAAGUGAGGCACGUGUGCCUUUUUGUAUGUACUUUAUGAGUAAGGAUCGGCUAACUCCGUGCCAGCCGCCGCGGUAAUACGGAGGAUGCGAGCGUUAUCCGGAUUUAUUGUGUUUAACGGGAGCGUAGAUGGGUUGUUAAGUCAGUUGUGAAAGUUUGCGGCUCAACCGGAAAACUGCAAUUGAUACUGGCAGCCUUGAGUACAGUAGAGGUAGGUGGAAUUCGUGGUGUAGCGGUGAAAUGCGUAGAUAUCAGGAAGAACUCCGAUGGCGAAGGCAGCCUACUAAACUGCCACUGACAUUGAGGCUCGAAAGUGUGGGUAGCAAACAGGAUUAGAUACCCCAGUAGUC
rnacentral:rRNA from 1 species